CCAAAUCCCACUCUAUCGUCUAAAGUCUUAAACCCUCGGAAAAACUCCAUGUCCCAUUUUCCUGUUUUGUUUAAGCAAUUUUCGUGAUCUAACACUCACUCCACUCUAAAUGUUUACCUGAAGAAGAACCAGAAGAAGAUGAUGCAUCUCAAACGCUUUCAGUUUGUUCGCACGCUUUACCGUGCUUCUUCUUCUUCUUCCUCCUCCUCCUCAUACCUGCUCGGUAGUAGCUGCAGGAGCUAUUCCAGUGCUCUAUCCAAUGGUUCUGAGCGUAGUUUUAGGAGCUUCUAUCCUCAUUUGAAUAAUGGAUACAAUGAAUUUUCCUUGGCUAGUGUUAAGGCUUUGACUCUCAGGUCUACAAUGGCUGCGGAGUUGUCUCUUUUCAUGAACGAUAAGAGGCUUUUAUCAACUCAAGUAAAAAGCGCUCCCCCUCAUGCAAGACCAGUGGGACAACAAAUAGCAUUAACGAGCCCUGGAUUUGUCUAUGAACCUUACAAACCUCGUGAAAAAAUCCCACUUUGGAAGAGAUUGUUCACUAGAACUGGUUGGAGAAGAACUAAAGAAGACAUGAUUCUGGAGCUAAAAAGUGCCUAUGCCAUUGCAAAGUUAAGGAAAAAAGGAUAUUCAAAAAAAGAAUUCUACAAUGAGGUUGCCAAUAUCUACAAGGAGUUAAACACUCUAAUAGCUAAUGGUGACAAAAAGACAUUAAGGAAAGUAGUUACGGAGAAUAUGUUUUCUGCACUAAAGAAUGAAAUUAAGCAAAGAGAAUCUGUGUGGAGCAAGGUAUACUGGGAAAUGGUUCAGCCUGUUGUGAGCAUACGAACAUUGCGUGCUCGUUUGGUUAGUAUUCUACUCAAUUCUGUUUGUAUUAAACUUUUGGUCCAGGUGAUGUAGUGACUUGAAAUGUAGAACAGGUAUGAAUUUUGAGAGUAUUGACUUUGCUGGCAUUUUGUGAUAUCGAAGAGUUGACAUUGUUAACUUGAUGAAAAAAAGUGAGGAGUCAUUGAUUCUAGUCUGGUCCAAUUUGUGCAAGUUGGAUUAUUAUUUGAAUGUGCUGCGAAUAGCACAAGAGGUUAUUAUUUAUGAUUGGUGUCGAUAGAAAAGACCAUGAUAAAGUAUUUAUUCAGCUUACUCUAGAGAUUAUGGCUAAGCAGAAGUUUGAGGCAUACGACUCAAAAGGUGCUGUAGUAGCUGGUGAUAAAAAUAAGGAGGUUCUUGUCUGUGAUAUAUGGGUUUUUGAGAAGUCUCUAUUUCACAAAGGAUCAUAUUGGCGUGUUUGUGGACGAUUAUCUACAAAAGCAUCAUAGCUAUAUUCUAGCCAUUCCUAUGUUGUAACUCACGAUUCCUGCCUGAACUGAAUUCUUAUAUUUGAUUUGAUGAAUAAAACUAUGUAUAGGUGUAAACCUAUCCAAAUUUUGUUCUUUCAACGGAACUCAUUUCAAGACUUUUAUUUAUUUAUUUAUCAUUUUUAA